AGUGAAAAGAAGAAACCAUCCGUUUCUCACCUUACUCUAAUUAGGGUUGUAGGGUUAAUAAUUAUGAUAUAUUACUAAUUUGUGUAUAUAUAUUGCGGGUGGAGAAUUCCAUCCGCAUUAUUUGUUAUAU
rfam:Clostridium cylindrosporum DSM 605 CLCY_9c, whole genome shotgun sequence.